AUUGAACGCUGGCGGCAGGCCUAACACAUGCAAGUCGAACGGUAACAGGAAGAAGCUUGCUUCUUUGCUGACGCGUGGCGGACGGGUGAGUAAUGUCUGGGAAACUGCCUUAUGGAGGGGGAUAACUACUGGAAACGGUAGCUAAUACCGCAUAAUUUCGCAAGACCAAAGAGGGGGACCUUCGGGCCUCUUGCCAUCGGAUGUGCCCAGAUGGGAUUAGCUAGUAGGUGGGGUAACGGCUCACCUAGGCGACGAUCCCUAGCUGGUCUGAGAGGAUGACCAGCCACACUGGAACUGAGACACGGUCCAGACUCCUACGGGAGGCAGCAGUGGGGAAUAUUGCACAAUGGGCGCAAGCCUGAUGCAGCUAUGCCGCGUGUAUGAAGAAGGCCUUCGGGUUGUAAAGUACUUUCAGCGGGGAGGAAGGGAGUAAAGUUAAUACCUUUGCUCAUUGACGUUACCCGCAGAAGAAGCACCGGCUAACUCCGUG
rnacentral:rRNA from 1 species